rfam:Ovis aries breed Texel chromosome 2, whole genome shotgun sequence.
CCUGAUAGCUCAGUUGGUAAAGAAUCUGCCUGCAAUGCAGGAGAUCCUGGUUCAAUUCCUGGGUCAGGA